rnacentral:rRNA from 1 species
GAUGAACGCUGGCGGCGUGCCUAACACAUGCAAGUCGAACGGCGGAGCCGGAGCUUGCUCUGCUGGCUCAGUGGCGAACGGGUGAGUAACACGUGAGCAAUCUGCCCCUGAUUUUGGGAUAAGCGCUGGAAACGGCGUUUAAUCCUGGAUACGAGCUGCGAAGGCAUCUUCAGCAGCUGGAAAGAAUCUCGGUCAUGGAUGAGCUCGCGGCUUAUCAGCUUGUUGGUGAGGUAAUGGCUCACCAAGGCGGGGACGGGUAGCCGGCCUGAGAGGGUGGCCGGCCACACUGGGACUGAGGCAGGCCGCAGACUCCUACGGGGGACAGCGGUGGCGAGUAUUACCCAGUGGGCGAGAGCGUGAUGCGGCAGCGCCGCGUUUGGAAAGACGGUCUUCGGGUUGUGAACCUCUUUUAGCUAGGAAGAAGCGAAAGUGACGGUACCUGCAGAAAAAGCGCCGGCUAACUACGUG